ensembl:lncRNA LINC01726 long intergenic non-protein coding RNA 1726
CAGUGGAUACUCGUGAUCCGGAAAAGCAGCUAAAGCCGCUUCUUCCCCCCAGUAGGUGAGGAGUCAACAGGCACACUCUAAAGACGAGGAAAUAAAGCCGGUCGUGACACCGUGAGAGCUGGUUCGCCCAACUACCCUUUCAGGGGAACGUCCACCCCACCUCUGCUGCCGAGCUUGGAAAAGUGGCAAGGAGUCGCAGUCCAGGACAAAACUCCGCCCCCGUCCCCGUGAAGGCCGCCCGUGGCUGGGGGCUACUGUAGAGGGAGAAAAUGAAAAGAAUGGCAUGAUCAGAAGUUGAGCAGUGUACAUCCUGCACAGCCAAAUGCAACAGGUCUUUUCCAGAGUCUGCUGCCACUCGCAGGGGUCCCCAAUCCCUGGGAUGCAAACCAGGGGCCAUAAGCCAGGUCCAUGGUGUGUUAGGAACCAGGCUACGCAGCAGAAGGAUCCGUCCUUCUGCACAACCCAUGCUGUCAACCAGGAGCUAUUCUGUCCCCACCGACUCAACGAGGCAGCAACCAGUUCUGUACAUGAAGAUUCCAAGGGAUCCCAAAUGGCACGUGUUAGAACAGACACUAUCCAAGAAGGAAAGGACAUAUCUGUCAACCAUGCUACAAGUGUCAUGCCACCAUGGAAGUUGAUUGCUAGAUACUGAGCUGGCAUACACCACACACACACACACACACACACACACACACACACACACACGCUGAAGCAUCCUCAGAAUUCCUGCAACUCCAAGGUUCAAACGUCCAAGAAGAAUACUGUGGGAGACAGAGUCACUCUGUAGCCCAUGCUGAAGUGCAGGGUUGCCAUCACAGCUCACUGCAGCCUCAAACUCCUGGGCUCAAGUGAUCCUCCCUCCUUGGCCUCCAAAGCACUGGGAUUACAGGAGUAAGCCACCACACCCAGCCUGUUAUUGUAUUUUAUGAAAAUGCUCACCUAUGGUGGAUUGAAAAUGCACUUAAACAUCUAUUUUUAAGUCAAGAUGUCCUCUCUCUGUCUCUUAACUUUCCAUGACUUGACUAGCAGGCACAUUCAAGGUACUUCAUGCAUCAUGAAGCAGAUGGAACAGGCGGCUCUCCAUUCUAGAGAUCCCUGGCUGUAAGGGUCUGUCCCUUUGCUAGUGUGGGAGGUCAGCCUGCCUUGCAGAAUGAACCAUACGGAUUCAAAGACUAAUCCCAAAUAUGCCAGGAUUGUCACUUUCAUUUCAUUAGACUUUCUAAGCCCAAUGUAAGUGUUGUUUAUGCUGAAUG